rnacentral:misc_RNA from 1 species
GAUGAAGAACGUAGCGAAAUGCGAUAAGUAAUGUGAAUUGCAGAAUUCAGUGAAUCAUCGAAUCUUUGAACGCACAUUGCGCCCCUUGGUAUUCCGAGGGGCAUGCCUGUUCGAGCGUCAUUACACCACUCAAGCUAUGCUUGGUAUUGGGCGUCGUCCUUAGUUGGGCGCGCCUUAAAGACCUCGGCGAGGCCACUCCGGCUUUAGGCGUAGUAGAAUUUAUUCGAACGUCUGUCAAAGGAGAGGAAAUCUGCCGACUGAAACCUUUAUUUUUCUAGGUUGACCUCGGAUCAGGUAGGGAUACCAGCUGAACUUAAGCAUAUCAAUAAGCGGAGGA